rnacentral:rRNA from 1 species
GAUGAACGCUGGCGGCGUGCCUAAUACAUGCAAGUCGAGCGAACGGACGAGAAGCUUGCUUUUCUGAUGUUAGCGGCGGACGGGUGAGUAACACGUGGAUAACCUACCUAUAAGACUGGGAUAACUUCGGGAAACCGGAGCUAAUACCGGAUAAUAUUUUGAACCGCAUGGUUCAAAAGUGAAAGACGGUCUUGCUGUCACUUAUAGAUGGAUCCGCGCUGCAUUAGCUAGUUGGUAAGGUAACGGCUUACCAAGGCAACGAUGCAUAGCCGACCUGAGAGGGUGAUCGGCCACACUGGACCUGAGACACGGUCCAGACUCCUACGGGAGGCAGCAGUAGGGAAUCUUCCGCAAUGGGCGAAAGCCUGACGGAGCAACGCCGCGUGAGUGAUGCAGGUCUUCGGAUCGUAAAACUCUGUUAUUAGGGAAGAACAUAUUUGUAAGUAACUGUGCACAUCUUGACGGUACCUAAUCAGAAAGCCACGGCUAACUACGUG